UACGGGGGGGGUAAGCGUUGUUCGGAAUUACUGGGCGUAAAGGGCUCGUAGGCGGCCAACUAAGUCAGACGUGAAAUCCCUCAGCUUAACUGGGGAACUGCGUGUGAUACUGGAUGGCUUGGAUUUGGGAGAGGGAUGCGGAAUUCCAGGUGUAGCGGUGAAAUGCGUAGAUAUCUGGAGGAACACCGGUGGCGAAGGCGGCAUCCUGGACCAAUAUUGACGCUGAGGAGCGAAAGCCAGGGGAGCAAACGGG
rnacentral:rRNA from 1 species